GCUCAGGAGAGAUGACACCGACGCCAGACGGACCGGUCCAUCCGCGCCGUGUCUGUCCGUCUGAAGUGGGUGUCAUCUCGCCUGAAGCA
rfam:Zea mays cultivar B73 chromosome 7, whole genome shotgun sequence.